rnacentral:tRNA from 1 species
GGUGCGGUGGCCGAGCGGUUGAAGGCGUUGGUCUUGAAAACCAAUGAGCCCGUUAGGGUUCCGUGGGUUCGAAUCCCACCCGCACCG